rnacentral:rRNA from 1 species
UACGUAGGGGGCAAGCGUUGUCCGGAUUCAUUGGGCGUAAAGAGCGUGUAGGCGGCCAGGUAGGUCGGUUGUGAAAACUGGAGGCUCAACCUUCAGAGGUCGACCGAAACCAUCUGGCUAGAGUCCGGGAGAGGAGAGUGGAAUUCCUGGUGUAGCGGUGAAAUGCGCAGAUAUCAGGAAGACCACCCGUGGCGAAAGCGGCUCUCUGGAACGGUACUGACGCUGAGACGCGAAAGCGUGGGGAGCGAACAGG